rnacentral:rRNA from 1 species
GUACGGGAGGCAGCAGUGGGGAAUAUUGGACAAUGGGGGCAACCCUGAUCCAGCCAUGCCGCGUGUGUGAAGAAGGCCUUCGGGUUGUAAAGCACUUUAAGCAGGGAGGAAGGCUCUAUGGCUAAUAUCCAUGGGGAUUGACGUUACCCGCAGAAUAAGCACCGGCAAACUUCGUGCCAGCAGCCGCGGUAAUACGAAGGGUGCGAGCGUUAAUCGGAAUUACUGGGCGUAAAGCGCGCGUAGGUGGUUUGAUAAGCGAUAUGUGAAAUCCCCGGGCUCAACCUGGGAACUGCAUGUCGAACUGUCAGGCUAGAGUAUGGUAGAGGGGUGUGGAAUUUCCUGUGUAGCGGUGAAAUGCGUAGAUAUAGGAAGGAACAUCAGUGGCGAAGGCGACACCCUGGACCGAUACUGACACUGAGGCGCGAAAGCGUGGGUAGCGAACAGGAUUAGAUACCCCCGUAGUCCC